ACGUAGGUGGCAAGCGUUGUCCGGAAUUACUGGGUGUAAAGGGUGCGCAGGCGGGAUUGCAAGUUGGAUGUGAAAUACCGGGGCUUAACCCCGGAGCUGCAUCCAAAACUGUAGUUCUUGAGUGGAGUAGAGGUAAGCGGAAUUCCGAGUGUAGCGGUGAAAUGCGUAGAUAUUCGGAGGAACACCAGUGGCGAAGGCGGCUUACUGGGCUCUAACUGACGCUGAGGCACGAAAGCAUGGGUAGCAAACAG
rnacentral:rRNA from 1 species